rnacentral:pre_miRNA from 1 species
UGCUGCAGCUGGUGUUGUGAAUCAGGCCGACGACAAGCGCAUCCUACUAUCCGGCUAUUUCAUUUUACUCGCUUCGCU